rnacentral:lncRNA from 1 species
AAAAAAGCACACACAUGACCUCUAUUUAUAGCCUAAGUGUCACACAAAAUUGUAGGGAAAAUCGAAUUUCAAUUCAAAUUUCACUUGAAUUUGAAAUUGAAUUUGUGGAGCCAAAUUUUGGAGCCAAAAUUUCACAAAUUGUGAUUAAUGAAUUUCAGUUAUGGUUCAGCCCACUAAUCGAAGAUCAAUUCCAAGAUUCUCCACUAAGUGUGCUUAGGUGUCAUGAGGCAUGUAAAGCAUGAAGGAUAUGUACAAAGUGUGACUAUAUGAUGUGGCAAUGGG